CACAAUUAUUUUUAAGUUUUAAAGCACAAGAAAGACGGAUUUCUACCUUGCAACCACCAGAUAUAUUCUAAUUGGCAAAGAUAAAAUAUGUUUCUUAUUUAUAUCCAAAUUUACUAUGCCAGAUAUUUCAUUUCAAGGUGUGUGGCUUUAAGGAAUGUUUUUUAAAUGGGUAUAUUACCAAGAUCUGCACAGCCAGGGUGAUAUUAACCUUCAGAUGUUAAAGCUUUCUAAGAAUUUUAAGGCUUGCCUUUUAUACUUGAAAUGAUAAAUCAUUAACAUGUUUUGUUCUUUAGGAACAUACAAACAUUUCCCACCCACCAUGUGGAUCAAGAUGUUUGGGCUGAUGAUUCUGGGUCGUACGUGUGGACAAGGUGGUCUUCAUUACAUCAUGAUGCAGCUGUGUAUUCAACAACAUGUUAACCUGUCCCAGCGGAUGUUGAUGCUCUUAAAUGAUGUUGAGAACAAUCCAGGACCGGAGUAUUCGUGCAAAUGGAUAUCCUGCAAGGAAGACUUCCACUCCAUAGGACAGCAAGAUGCACAUAUCAUCUCUCAUGUGGUUCAAGAGAAAUGCUGUAGAUGGGGAGACUGUACCAAAGUCCUGAGCUUUAAUAGUCUUGAAAUCCAUGAACUUAAACAUCUCUAUGAUGUGAGUUUAGCACUGUGUAUGAACUGGUGUUGCUUCAUUUUCUGCAUAUCUUUAUCUCAGUCUUCUCUAGUUUUGAUGGUCAAAUACAUAUUGUCUGCCAGUUUUUUUCCCCCAAUACUGCCGUUCAUCGUUUGCUUGCAUCAAGAGUUUUAAAAGAAAUUAAAACUCAUUUGUUUAGUUAGAAUCUUAUGAAAGACUUAAAUGGCCAUGUUUAAUAAAAUUGUAUAACAACAUAUACGAGCUAAAAAAAUAGUUGGAAUAAUUAAUGUAUAUAUGAACAUAACAAAUUUACUUAAAAUCAUAGGUCUUGUUUUUGUCUGCCACUAUAAGAACCAGAACAUAUUUCGGACAUUCGAGGAUUGGCUGUGUUAGAGGAUCAUCAGGUGAUGGAAGAAACCAGGCUUUUUUCGACUCAAUGUUGAUGAAACCUGAUCGACAUGCUCAUCUUGGUUGAGUAAGCCUGGGUUGAGUGUGUCCAAAAAGUAGGUAACCUGGUGAAAUCUUAGGAAAACAUUGUAACCAGAUCCAGGUUUAUUUGACUGACAGACCGAUGGACAGUGGGUCAACCGUAAAUCCCUUCAUGUGAAAACGGUAGGGACAAAAUAAAUAUCACAUUGCUCUUCUGAGUUCAUUUGUAAACCAAGUUUUAUCACAAAAUUAAAAUGGUCAAUGUAUUAUUUUGUGUAUUUAAAAAUUAUGUGAAUAUUAAGUUUCAUGAAAUCUUACUGAGUUUUCUCAAUUUUAGCUACUAUUCGGACAUGGACUGACGGACAAAUGGGCAACAAUGUCGCAAUUUGUAUACCAAGUUUUAUAAGAAUUGUUUCAUAAAAGUAACCAAUGUGUCUGUUCUAUGUCAAGGUAACUACUAGGAUGAAAUACACAAAAAGAUUUU